GAGAGACUGAGUAACAUAUCCAAAGCUACAGAGCUUGGAGAAGAGUUAGGUCUUUUGCCUUUUUUCCACGAUGCAUCUUACCAUGGCUUACCUUAGUUCAGGAUCUUCAGCCAAUCUUUUUUUUUUUUUUAGCGUUUAACAAACAAGAACUACCAAUGCUCAAUUAAUUGUUGCUGCCUUUGAAACCAUGUGAAUUAUACAGAGGAAGUGGCAUUGAAAGGAGGCCUUGAAGGAUGCCUGUGACUUCAAGGUAGAUGACGCUGGGGCUAAGGUAACAUCAAGAUAAGGAGAAGAUUUGUAAAGCCACUACGCUGUCAAUAGGAUCAUGUGGUUGGGAAAGGAAGUUCACCGGCUGGAGUUGAAGCAAUAAAGAGCCCAGGGAAGAUUAGCCCUGAGCCAGCUGCUGCCAAUCCUCUUUUUGCUGAGGAAGACUGGCCCUGAGCUAACAUCCUUGCCCAUCUUCCUCUACUUUAUACGUGGGACGCCUACCACAGUGUGGCUUGCCAAGUGGUGCCAUGUCCACACCCGGGAUCUGAACUGGCAAACCCUGGGCUGCUGAGAAGCGGAACGUGCAAACUUAACUACUGUGCCACUGGGCCGGCCCUAAAAUUCUUAAAUGCUAU
rnacentral:lncRNA from 1 species